rnacentral:rRNA from 1 species
AACGAACGCUGGCGGCGUGCCUCAGACAUGCAAGUCGAACGAGAAAGUUCCCUUCGGGGAAUGAGUAAAGUGGCGCACGGGUGAGUAACACGUAGGUAAUCUACCUUCGGGUGGGGAAUAACCCAGGGAAACUUGGGCUAACACCGCAUAAUGCAGCGGCACCACAUGGUGACAGUUGUUAAAGCGGGGGAGUUUUAGGACCUCGCGCCUGAAGAGGAGCCUGCGGCGGAUUAGCUAGNGGUUAGGGUAACGGCUUACCAAGGCGACGAUCCGUAACCGGCCUGAGAGGGCGGUCGGUCACACUGACACUGACAUACGGGUC